GACGUAGGGCGCGAGCGUUGUCCGGAUUUAUUGGGCGUAAAGAGCUCGUAGGCGGCUUGUUGCGUCGACUGUGAAAACCCGCGGCUUAACCGCGGGCUUGCAGUUGAUACGGGCAGGCUAGAGUUCGGUAGGGGAGACUGGAAUUCCUGGUGUAGCGGUGAAAUGCGCAGAUAUCAGGAGGAACACCGGUGGCGAAGGCAGCCCCCUGGGCUGAGAUUGACGCUCAGGCACGAAAGCGUGGGGAGCAAACAGG
rnacentral:rRNA from 1 species